rnacentral:rRNA from 1 species
GUGCCAGCAGCCGCGGUAAUACGGAGGAUGCAAGCGUUAUCCGGAUUUAUUGGGUUUAAAGGGUGCGCAGGUGGUUGAAUAAGUCAGUGGUGAAAGUCUGCCGCUUAACGGUAGGAUUGCCAUUGAUACUGUUUAACUUGAGUUUAGGUGAGGUAGGCGGAAUGUGUAGUGUAGCGGUGAAAUGCAUAGAUAUUACACAGAACACCGAUUGCGAAGGCAGCUUACUAAUCUACAACUGACACUGAGGCACGAAAGCGUGGGGAUCAAACAGGAUUAGAUACCCUGGUAGUCCACGCUGUAAACGAUGAUCACUCGCUGUUUGCGAUAUACAGUAAGCGGCUAAGCGAAAGCGAUAAGUGAUCCACCUGGGGAGUACGAUCGCAAGGUUGAAACUCAAAGGAAUUGACGGGGGCCCGCACAAGCGGAGGAACAUGUGGUUUAAUUCGAUGAUACGCGAGGAACCUUACCUGGGCUUAAAUGGGGAGUGACAGCUGGCGAAAGUUGGUUUUCUUCGGACACUCUUCAAGGUGCUGCAUGGUUGUCGUCAGCUCGUGCCGUGAGGUGUCGGGUUAAGUCCCAUAACGAGCGCAACCCUUACUGUUAGUUGCCAGCGGGUCAAGCCGGGAACUCUAACGGGACUGCCACCGUAAGGUGAGAGGAAGGUGGGGAUGACGUCAAAUCAGCACGGCCCUUAUGUCCAGGGCUACACACGUGUUACAAUGGCCGGUACAAAGGGCAGCUACACCGCGAGGUGAUGCUAAUCUCGAAAGCCGGUCUCAGUUCGGAUCGAAGUCUGCAACCCGACUUC